GUAACACGUGGAUAACCUACCUAUAAGACUGGGAUAACUUCGGGAAACCGGAGCUAAUACCGGAUAAUAUAUUGAACCGCAUGGUUCAAUAGUGAAAGACGGUUUUGCUGUCACUUAUAGAUGGAUCCGCGCCGCAUUAGCUAGUUGGUAAGGUAACGGCUUACCAAGGCAACGAUGCGUAGCCGACCUGAGAGGGUGAUCGGCCACACUGGAACUGAGACACGGUCCAG
rnacentral:rRNA from 1 species